AUCGCUUCUCGGCCUUUUGGCUAAGAUCAAGUGUAGUAUCUGUUCUUAUCAGUUUAAAAACUCUUGUCUUCAAAGGCGGUCAUAUUCUGAGACCUGGGGGUUAGGAUUUCAACACUU
rnacentral:snRNA from 1 species